rnacentral:rRNA from 1 species
UUAGAGUUUCAUUCUGGCUCAGGAUGAACGCUAGCGGCAGGCCUAACACAUGCAAGUCGAGGGGCAGCAUAAAAAGUAGCUUGUUACUUUUGGUGGCGACCGGCGCACGGGUGCGUAACGCGUAUGCAACCUACCCAUAACAGGGGGAUAACACUGAGAAAUUGGUACUAAUACCCCAUAACAUCAGAUGCGGCAUCGCAUUUGGUUGAAAACUCCGGUGGUUAUGGAUGGGCAUGCGUUGUAUUAGCUAGUUGGAGAGGUAACGGCUCACCAAGGCGACGAUACAUAGGGGGACUGAGAGGUUAACCCCCCACAUUGGUACUGAGACACGGACCAAACUCCUACGGGAGGCAGCAGUGAGGAAUAUUGGUCAAUGGACGCAAGUCUGAACCAGCCAUGCCGCGUGCAGGAUGACGGCUCUAUGAGUUGUAAACUGCUUUUGUAUAAGGGUAAACCCAGAUACGUGUAUCUGGCUGAAAGUACUAUACGAAUAAGGAUCGGCUAACUCCGUGCCAGCAGCCGCGGUAAUACGGAGGAUCCAAGCGUUAUCCGGAUUUAUUGGGUUUAAAGGGUGCGUAGGCGGUUUGAUAAGUUAGAGGUGAAAUACCGGGGCUCAACUCCGGAACUGCCUCUAAUACUGUUGAACUAGAGAGUAGUUGCUGUGGGCGGAAUGUAUGGUGUAGCGGUGAAAUGCUUAGAGAUCAUACAGAACACCGAUUGCGAAGGCAGCUCACAAAACUAUAUCUGACGUUGAGGCACGAAAGCGUGGGGAGCAAACAGGAUUAGAUACCCUGGUAGUCCACGCAGUAAAC